UUGAAGGUCAGUGGGUGGAUUAGAGCUGAUUUGGAACUCAAAAGGGUGAAUUUCUGUAAGUUGGAGGUUGAAGAGUCGACCCUUGCCCUUGAGAAGUUGACCAUAGGGAUUUUUUUUUGAACAAUGGUAGUUUUCUGGAAUAGGAUCAACUACUCGCCCCCUUUUCAGAGAAGUCGGCUUUAGAGCAAAAUCAUAGUCAUAGUCAACCCCUUACCUUAUGCAGUCGACCCUAGAGCACAGCAGUAGAAAAAUAAAACCCUAAAACCCCCAAAACUCGAGCCUCCUUCAUUUCUGUUUGUUCUUCCACUCUUGUUAUCUCAAAUUUCUCAACUCUCAAGACCUUCAAACUGCAUUAUUAAACCUUGACCUUCAAUAACUAAAGGGUUUCAAGAUUUGUUAGAACCCUUGCGUAAGAGCUCGCCAAGGUACUGUUGGAGUAGUUUGAGUUUUGAAGAAGUUGAGCUUUCGACGAAAUGUGUCAAGAGGAAAGGCACACUUCCAUGAGAUGGUUGCAAGAUAGGUUCUAAAAUAGUGAAGUUCAUCUCAAAGCAUUCCAAGAUCAUCAAUCUACACUACAACAAGCAUACUUCAAGUCAAGAAACGUAGUCAUCACUCAACAUUUGAUCACAAGGAAAAUAUGGUCAAAGUUACAUGUUAAAAUGUCAAGGAAUCUUGAAGAAACAAAGCUCCAAUCUAUCCUAGAGCAAUGCAAGUCAUUCAUAUGCAAGAAUGAGCGAGAACAGAUCAGUAAAUUGCUUAGUUCGCUGUCCUUUGGGAAGAGCUGUUUCUAUAGUUAGUUUUGGUAGGUGAUCGUCGUGGCAUCUAGUAAGUGUUAGCGCAUGUUCCUUGAGUCAUACUCUGCUAAUCCGGUCUGGUUUUUUAUAUCUGACUGUUAUGGAUUAUGACUUGUUUAUGUCCUAUAAUAAUUGAGAUAAUGAAUAAUUGCCACAUGAUGGCUUAUGUAUUGUAUUCGUCACAAUAUGACCUAUACAUUGGAUUAUGAUGUAUGUUGCUUUUGCAUUAUGAGCACAUUAGCGUGCGGAUCGAUUUGAUAUUUUUUGAUAGAUGAUAUAAUCAUGUUUAUAUUUUUUCACAUAUGAUUCCAUGGUGAUGAGUCCCAUGAGGCA